rnacentral:rRNA from 1 species
CCUACGGGUGGCAGCAGUGAGGAAUAUUGGUCAAUGGACGCAAGUCUGAACCAGCCAUGCCGCGUGCAGGAAGACGGCUCUAUGAGUUGUAAACUGCUUUUGUACGAGGGUAAACUCAGAGACGCGUAUCUGUCUGAAAGUAUCGUACGAAUAAGGAUCGGCUAACUCCGUGCCAGCAGCCGCGGUAAUACGGAGGAUUCAAGCGUUAUCCGGAUUUAUUGGGUUUAAAGGGUGCGUAGGCGGUCGGAUAAGUUAGAGGUGAAAGCCCGAGGCUCAACUUCGGAAUUGCCGUUGAUACUGGGCGGCUAGAGAGUAGUUGAGGCAGGCGGAAUGUAUGGUGUAGCGGUGAAAUGCUUAGAGAUCACACAGAACCCCGAUUGCGAAGGCAGCUUACCAAGCUAUUUCUGACGUUGAGGCACGAAAGCGUGGGGAGCAAACAGGAUUAGAUACCCUAGUAGUC